AGUCCCGUGGUGUAGCGGUCAAGCAUACAGGCCUUUGGAGCCUGUGACGGGGGUUCGAAUCCUCUCGGGACUA
rnacentral:tRNA from 1 species